AAGCCUAUGAAGAUUAGCUAUAUAUCUGGAAUUACCGUCAGAUUUACUUGUGACGACAAUUGCCUGGCUUCCUGAGGCUCAAC
rfam:Setaria italica strain Yugu1 chromosome IV, whole genome shotgun sequence.